CACGUCAGCGCGCGUUACUGACGUGGCAACAAAUUGCGCCCUAUAGGACGCGAUUUCCUGCCACGUCAGCAACUCGCGCUGAUGUGG
rfam:Gossypium hirsutum cultivar TM-1 chromosome 25, whole genome shotgun sequence